UAAUACGUAGGGGGCGAGCGUUGUCCGGAUUUAUUGGGCGUAAAGAGCGCGUAGGCGGCCAGGUAGGUCCGACGUGAAAUCUCGAGGCUCAACCUCGAGCGGUCGUUGGAUACCGCCUGGCUAGAGUCCGGAAGAGGAGAGUGGAAUUCCUGGUGUAGCGGUGAAAUGCGCAGAUAUCAGGAAGAACACCCAUGGCGAAAGCAGCUCUCUGGGACGGUACUGACGCUGAGGCGCGAAAGCGUGGGGAGCGAACAGGAUUAGAUACCCUGGUAGUCCACGCCGUAAACGAUGGGUGCUAGGUGUGGGCGGUGUCGACUCCGUCCGUGCCGAAGCUAACGCAUUAAGCACCCCGCCUGGGGAGUACGGCCGCAAGGCUA
rnacentral:rRNA from 1 species